UUCCCGAAAUUUGCAUUGAUUGGAGGAGCGGGUUUGCUUGAUUGCGGGGCGGACUCCAACUUUCCAUAAUUAGACUGCAGUGAGACACGGAAGCCCUUUCGCUUCCUUCCGUUCCACCACUGACCGGGGGUUGUGUUGUUGAUGUCGGGGAGGACACUCUAGCUGGUGCUUCUCGCUGUAAGCGAGUGCGUUGACUCGUACAGUCUCUCCUGCUGUAAUUGCUCGUGGCUCGGCUUGUGGCUGGAGCACUGAAGUCCUCCGAGUAGUGCGCGAAGCGUGUGCAAGCUUCUGCUACGGAGAUCUUUGCGCCAUCACGAUUCAGAUUGAGGCUACGUGCGCAGUAUAACCACUCGGGCGGGGAGUGACCAGCAACUAGGGUGACUCCGCGGCAUCACAGGCUGCUGCUCUGUUUUGGGAACAUAGUCCCCUUUUGGGUUACUGCUUUCCACUGGCGCGACAGGUCGUCGGCUACUGUGGUCGGGUUCUAUCGACGCAGCGCAGACCCCCCAGCAAUGCGCACUCUCACCUGCUGACUACCUGCACUCGCGGCAACACCGCUGACCGCAUAGGCUAUUUUGUGUUUAAGUUUUGAUUUGAUUUAUUUUGUGGUUGCAUAGGUGGCAAUGUGCAACACCACUAUUUUGUGAUUAUUUUGUGAUUAUUUUGUGGACGUGGGGGAUUCGUGAGAGGCAUACCCCUCGCAUGUUUCUGCUGUAUCAUUUCUGUU